GAUCAUGGCUCAGGAUGAACGCUAGCGACAGGCCUAACACAUGCAAGUCGAGGGGCAGCGGGGAGGUAGCAAUACCUUUGCCGGCGACCGGCGCACGGGUGAGUAACACGUAUGCAAUCCACCUGUAACAGGGGGAUAACCCGGAGAAAUCCGGACUAAUACCCCAUAAUAUGGGCGCUCCGCAUGGAGAGUCCAUUAAAGAGAGCAAUUUUGGUUACAGACGAGCAUGCGCUCCAUUAG
rnacentral:rRNA from 1 species